rnacentral:lncRNA from 1 species
CCUAAAGAUCAUGUCAUUGGGCUAGCUAGGCCCAACAAGCACGAUUUGAAACUUUUGAGCCCAAAGAUGGUGUAUUGACUUCUCGUGAAGUUUUUGUGUGUGUAUUGUAGUACCAUUGUUUAUUGAUUUUUUAUUCGUUAUUGAUUCGAGACCGAAUCAAUUCGUUUGAUAACGAUUUUGGUGUUGAAGGUGUAUUUAUUAUUACGUUUCGCCGGUAGACGUAGUACUCGUAUUUUUAUUGUAAGGGAUCUAUUGUUUUAAGAGUGUGAGUUUACCUUCUUAAGCCCUUUCUCGGAUAAAAUUUACACUUUUAACCCCUUGAGUAUAAAAAAUAUUUCCGGUUUAGUCCUUAAACUAUUUUUCUUGACACUUUAGUAUCAAAACUUAUUGGAAAGACAUUUUUAGCAUAAAUUUACUUGAUAAACAGCUUAAGUCCUUCAAAAAUGAAAUUUUCUCGGUUGAAACCUCCAUUUUUGCAACUUUUACAAUUUUGACCCAAAAUGGAAAAUUUUUGCAUCUUUGGUCCCUUUUUAAUUGGAAAAGCAUUUUUGACCCUCGAAAUAGAUUUGGUACACUAGUAAUCCCCUGUUUUACAGAAAUGUGCAGUUUCAGCCCCUCCAACUAAAAAAUUUCGCAAUUUGGGGCUUUAUUGGGCCGAAAAGCCCAUUUUGGCCCAUUAUGUUUAAAUUUCACAUUUUUAACCCUUCAAAAGUGUUAAUAUUCAGAAAAUACAUAUUAGAAACUGUUUAGACUCAUCUCAACCUUCAGAAUCUAUAUUUUGUCGUUUUGGGCCCCUUAGUUUUGUAUUUUUAGCAUUUUGAGCCCAAAAAUGGGUUUUAAGUCCAAAAAUGUUCAUAUUAACCAACUUGGUUAUUUUUCUAGACUUGAUUAGUGUGAAAUGGUAUAAGUUAUACUUAUUUCAUUCAUCAUAUUGUAGAUCUCAGUUUUUAAGUUCUUUUUGACUAGUACAAACACCACAAUCACAUAAGAUCAUACAUAUAAGCAUAGAAAUCACACAAAGCAUACAUAUACUCAUAGAUCUACACAUUUGCUUGUAUUCUCCCCCACAAAACUUAUAAAAACCGAAAAAGAGGGGGUAUGAAGCUCACCUUUGGGUGUGGUUUCGGUUUUUGGAAGAAAAUGAGAAGAAUUUCGGCCUUAGCAACCUUCCUUGGAAGAUUUCGAACUUGGAUGCUUCUUAGGUGCUAGAUCAUGAGUUUGAAUGAAUUAAGAGGUGAUUUUUGGAUGAAAUGAAGUAGCUAGCUUAAGGAUCUAAGAGAUUUCUUAUCUUAGAUGAUGAUUUUUGUGUAAAAAUCCCCUUGAUUCCUUCUUAAAUCUCGAAGUAUGGAUGAGUUAUGGGAGUGUUUCCUUGAGAGAAAAGUGAGUAAAAUGUGUGUGUGUGUGCUUGAACUCGGCCGAGAGCAAGAGAGAGAGGGAGAAAAAGAGUAGCUAGACUUGGAAGUAUGUGAGUGCAUGGAUGUUUGAGUCUUCAUGCAUGGAUGUCCCUUGAAUAAUUGUGAGGUGUCACUCACAAAGUCAACUCUCCUCUUCUUUUGGGCUUGGGCCGAGAAUGGGGAGGGUGAGAGGAGGUUUUUGGGCUUUUUGCCCUUAAGCCCAUGUUAUAGCUAGGUUGGAUGAUUUUUGGCCCUAAAAAAAUAUAAAUAUGAUUUUUAUGACCCGUUAGGUUAUAUUAGGUUAAUUAUGGUCCACAAUGGUUCAUAUAAUUAAUCUAUCUCAUUCUAGGCCCAAUAUGGCCCAAAAUAUGGAAUUAAAUGGAAGUGGGUCCAAUUAGAGCCCAUUUAAGAGUUCUAAGCCCAAGAUAGCCAAAUUGGAAGCUUAUUGGUCCAUUGGGCCCAAUAAGGAAGUCCUAGUCCAAAAUGGACUUAAACAAGAACGUCUAGGGUUUCCAAUUGCUUAAUGACUAUUUGAAUCGUUUGCAUGGGGUGUUUGAUUGAAAUUUUGUUGACAUAGAGUAUGCAUCAUACAUGCUAUUAUAUUUUUGAUUCAUAAAUUGGUUUAAGUGUUGGUUACAAGGCACAAAAAUUCCUAAUUGUGACAUCAUCCCCACGUUAGAGGGAAUUUCGUCCCGAAAUUCUUUUGAAAGCUAGAUUUGAGAAUGCUAGAAUAGGUGAGGGUACUUUUGCUUCAUUUGGUCUUCGCGUUGCCACGUGAAUUCUGGCCCAUGCUUCGCGUUCCACCGUACUUUCACGAUCGGGAUGCGACUUUGCUUAGUACGCUUCACCUCCCUGUCCAUGAUUUCAACCGGUUCUUCAACGAACAUGAGAUUUUCGUUGAUAUCAAUCUCGUCAAGGGGAAUGACAAGUGUUUCAUCUGAUAGGCACUUCUUUAGAUUGGAGACAUGGAACAUGGGGUGUACACUGUUUAGCUCCGCGGGUAGCUGCAGAGCAUCUGCUUCAGGGUUCGAAAUGCAACUUCUUGUUUUUCCGUCCAUUUGAAUGGUACGCCCUUUUGUGUAAGCGAGGUAAGUGGCUUGGCGAUCUUAGAGAAGUUUUGAAUGAACCUCCUAUAGUAGCCCGUUAGGCCUAAGAAUUGACGAAUUUAUGUGGGUGUUGUCGGGACUGCCCGUCCUUCAACGGCUUUGACCUUAGAGGGAUCCACAUGAAUUCCAUCUUGGCUAACAACAUGACCUAGGAAGUUCACGCUACGGAGCCAGAACUCACACUUGGAGAGUUUUGCGUAUAGCUUUUCCGAUCGCAAGUUUCUAGGAUUUGUCGGAGAUGUUGGCCAUGCUCUUCCUCGCUUCGGGAAUAAACGAGAAUGUCGUCAAUGAAGACGAUGACAAAGUUGUAGAGGAAUGGUCGACAAAUUUGGUUCAUCAGAUCCAUAAAUGUGGCAGGAGCAUUCAUUAGACUGAAGGGCAUUACGACAAAUUCAUAAUGUCUGUAACGAGUUCGGAAAGCGGUUUUAGGAAUAUCCUCUUCCCGGACUUUGAGUUGAUGGUAUCCGAACCGUAGAUCUAUCUUAGAGAAGUAACUAGCUCCUUGGAGCUGGUCAAAUAGAUCGUCGAUUUGUGGGAGUGGAUAGUGAUUUUUGACAGUGAGUUUAUAUAACUCCCUGUAAUCGAUGCACAUUCUAAAAGAUCCGUCCUUCUUUUUGACAAAGAGGACUGGAGCUCCCCAUGGCGAGUAACUAGGUCGGAUGAAUCCCUUGUCCAGGAGUUCGCUGAGUUGGCUGGACAAUUCCUGCAUUUUAGCAGGAGCUAGCCGGUAGGGCGAUUUAGCAAGAGGAGUUGCUCCUGGAACGAGGUGAAUUCGGAACUUCACUUGUCUCUCUGGGGGUACUCCAGGAAGAUCUUCAGGAAAUACGUCUGGGAAUUCACGUGCUAUGGGAAUGUCUUGAAUGUUAACCUCUUCCUUGGUUUUAUCCACUAUGUGAGCCAGGAACGUCAAAUCGUUCUUUCGUAGAUGUUUCUGUGCCUGGAUGCACGAGAUGAGGCGAAGGUUCGUGCUAGGUUUGUCUCUGUAAAUAACUAGGGUUUCGUGAUUGGGAAGGUGAAGGCGAACGACCUUCUCGUGACACAUAAUUUCAGCAUGGUGGGGGCUUAACCAGUCCAUGCCAUUAAUCACAUCGAAACUCCUAAUGGAAACAGGCAUUAAGUCUAUUCGAAAGACAUGUUGAUUUAAGGUUAGGGUACAUCCGGUGUAGAUUUCCCCGGUGGAUUCGGUUUUCCCAUUGGCCAUUUCCACCGUAAAGGUUUCAUUGAGCUUCUGGGGUUGUUCUUUUAAUAAAUGUUUAAACUUAUUGCUCACAAAACUUCGCUCUGCUUCAGUGUCAAAUAGGAUGCAUGCAUAAGUGUGGUUUAGGGGAAACGUACCGGUAACAACAGCGGGAUCCUGAAUCGCCUCCCCCUGACCCAUGGUCAGCAUCCUUCCUGUUCCUCCAUUUCCAGGAUUGUUGUUGUUAGGGCAAUCUCGGCGAAAAUGCCCAGUCCUCCCACACCCAUAGCAGGUGUGGCUAGGCCCUGCAUUGUUUUCGCCGGUGUUGAUGUUGUUGUUGUUGCGGUUGUUGUUGUUGUUGCUAUUUCCCUGUUGUUGGUUCUGAGGAGGUUAAGUCCUGCAAUACCUUGCCGUAUGUCCCUUCCGAUUGCAACUUGUGCACUUCAGCUCCUUGCACUAUCCAUUGUGAUGGAAACCACACUUGUUGCACUUGGGAAGAUUACCGGAAUAAGGUCUAGGAGCAUUCGAAGUAGCUGAGACUGGAGCAUGUGGUGUGGCCGGAACUUGUGCGGUGGUAGCAUUAACUGCCACUGUCUGCUGCUUCGUAGAAGUCUCGGGGCCUUGACGCCCCUUCCUCUUGUUGUUCUUCCCCUUCUUGCCAUCACCUUCCUUCUUGCCUUCAGCCUCCGCUGGCUUCUCACCCUUCUUGUUGUUGUGGUCAUACAGCUUCUUCGCCAAUCUCUUAACACUAUCGAAAGUUUCAGGAUUUGCAGCUAUCACGUUUCCUUGGAUUGGAGAGGUUAGUCCCCAGAUGAAUCGCUCAAUCUUCUUUCCUUCCGAGGUGAUCAUACCCGGACAUAACAGAAAUAGUUCACUAAAUCUUGAUAUGUAGGCAUCGAUAUCAGCAUUCCGUACAGUGAGGUCCCACAGCUCUUACUCCAUUUUCUGAAUCUCACCACGAGGGCAGUAUUCGGCCAUCAGCAUUUCCUUCAUUUCUGUCCAUGGCAUGGAAUUGGCUACGGGGAGUGUCAUGGCUUCCACGUGCCCGUUCCACCAAGUGAGCACUUGGUCGAAAAAAGUGUAUGCAGCAAACUUUACUUUCAUCUCUCCAGGGCAAUCGCAUAUCUCGAACACCGAUUCCACCUUCUUGAUCCAUCGUUUCAGGGUGAUCACUCCUCCGGUGCCGUUAAGGUUCGUGGNNNNNNNNGUGAAGUCCUUGUAGGUACAGGUUUUGGUGGGUCCUUGAUUCAUUCCAUUGUUCGAACUCCCGGCCCCUUGCCCGUUGCCUCCUCCGUUGUUCCCUUGGUGAAUUUGUGCCAUAGCUGUGGUGACCACAACAGAUACGGCUGCCUGGAAUGCAGUGGAGUCAACUUCGGGUGGGGUUGGUCCAGGGUUUCCGCGAGUAGGUCGGCGAGGCAUCUUUCUGUCAUGAAAUGGAAAGAUGUUGAGUGUUUGUGGCUUCUGUGAGGUUGUGAUCCUACUGACUAGGUGCAGGGUACGAACUUAGGUACUUCUACAAAUUAGCAUACAAUCAUAGAUUCGCAACACAUAACAAUUUGUAAUGUCAUAAUUAAACACAUAAAAGUUUACUAAUAUUAUCCGCGUUUGAUACAUGAAAAUUUUGCUCAAAAGAGCAUACAUAAGUGAUAUUAGUUCGACAGCAUAACGGCUCUAUGAGUAGUGUAGUCACUUAAACAUAGAGUCGAGGUACAUAGCAUAGAUCCUAAUGGUCUAGUCAGAUAAGCCUAUCCCUAAUCGCGAUGAGUUGUGCCCGGGGGUGGUGCUGAGGAAGUGGAUGCUCCCUGAAGACGAGCCACCUGUCGUUCUGCGUCCUGGAGUCGAGACUCCCACCUCACCUGCCUCAUAUGGAACUCUCGAAGGACGUCUCGUUUCUCCUGCUCUGCAGGCUCGACCCUAGUCCACAGUUGGCGUACCUGGUCGGCGGUGCUCUGAGCAAGGUCGCCAGUGUUCCGUAACCGUCUCGCCAUGACCGGGAGGGCUCGAUCGGCCGGUCCUCCGUCCCUCAGGUCAAAGAACUCGCGUGACAUGCCGAACAAGGGUCGCUGUCCCUGCUGUCUGCUUCAUCUCCAAAGAUCAAUACCCUAGGGGGUGUAGGACCAAUAGGGCCCACCCGGUAAGCAAGCACCCUAAUCGGGUAAGGGGGGUUGAUGACUUCGGACUCCGCGUCCGAAUCACCCCCUUCACUGUCGUCAGGUUCCUCCUCUAAGUUUCCUUAAUCUUCUUCCUCCUUCUGUUCUUCUUCUGGUUCGGCAGGCUCGCCCUCGGAUCCUACCUCCGGUUCCCCGUCAGAUUCCUCCUCGGGGUCUUCCUCAGGCUCUUCAUCGAUCGAUCCGUUAUUUCCCUGAUUAGGGAAGUAAGGAUCUCCGGGGUGAUGGAAACCAGCCAUGCUGUCUGCGAGAGUGUGUAAAUAUGCUACCAUUAUUCCUAGGAUGCUACAACUAUUGUACAGACUAAACAAACGUUCUCUUUUUGGUGAUAAAGGGGUAUGUUUUUAGGUUCCCUAGCCAUCACGAUCUCCUCAGGACGUGUGGUAGUGAUACCUUGGUAGGAAUGUAGUUGAUCAGGCUACAUCCGUUCCUUGAUACAACUAAGAACAGUCCUGGAUUAACAGAGAUACUAGCAUUAUCUUGUUUGAUUCGGUGUUAGGUUCUCGUUCCUAAUACAAGCAAGGGUGUUUUAUUAUUAUGUUUUACUUUUUUUGUUCAGAGUUGUGUUAGUCCCUCUUUUGGUUUAUAGUUGCAUAUCAAUGUGUGGCUAGAUAUGCUAGUUCACUAUAAACAGAGCUCUAAUACCAACCUGUCACACCCCCGAACCAGACGGCGGAAACGUCCGAGGGCUAUUGUGACUCAAUUGAAUACCAUCACAAUGAAUAUACAUGAAUCAUAACAUCAUUCAUCACCAUGCAUUGAAAUAUUACAACCGGUAUUGUUUACAUUCAGUACAUUGUUUCAAAACAUUACAUUUCCAAAACAUAAGCCAUUCGAUAUUAAUUAAACAAACAUCAUGACAUCACUGGAUACAUUUUUCUUCAAUUUACCUGUUACCUGAGAAUACAAGUAUUUUGGAAAAACGUCAACAUAUGAAAUGUUGGUGAGUUCAUAAGUAAGGUUUGAAAAGAAAUGAUUUGUAUAAUUUUGAAAACAACAGAAAAUCCGAUAUUUUCUAAAAAAAAAUGUUGUAUAUGAGAAAAAGUGUGAAGAUCCGUAAGUAUGCUUGUUGAUUAUUAUGAACGUGAAUAAUUGUUAGACUUUGUAUAUAUAUCACAUAAUUAAGGGUGUUGAAUUUCCCAGGAAAACCCGAUGUUUUCCCAAUACAUUAAAUUACGUGGCUGAGUUAGUAUUAUUCCGAUACGACGUUGUUUUCGAUAAUUCCAGGUGACAUUGGAUUAAUUACGGGUUGUGAGUCGUUAUAAUCACGCAUUAAUGAAAAUGACUAGUUUACAACUAUACAAACGAUCCCUUAGGCGUCGUCCGUACUACUCACUUAAUCCAACCACCCUGACUUCUCAUAGCCCCACAACCGAGGAGAAAAGAGGGUACGAAGUCCCCGUUAUUUCCAUAAGUCGUUCAAGGCUAUCGUGAAUGCGAAAGGCCCUUGGCCCGACUCGCAUUUGACUUCUUGACUUUGCUAGCAGUACCAAAGGACCCUUGGGGCCCAACAGCACAAUAAAGCUAUUGAAAGUCCUUUUACGCGGAAUUAGGUCAUAUAAGGCCCAAUAACAUGUAAGCGCGUUCCCUUCGGGCCUAAAGAUCAUGUCAUUGGGCUAGCUAGGCCUACCAAGCACGAUUUGAAACUUUUGAGCCCAAAGAUGGUGUAUUGACUUCUCGUGAAUUUUCUGCGUGUGUAUUGUAGUACCAUUGUUUAUUGAUUUUUUAUUCGUUAUUGAUUCGAGACCGAAUCAAUUCGUUUGAUAACGAUUUUGGUGUUCAAGGUGUAUUUAUUAUUAUGUUUCGACGGUAUAUGUAGUACUCGUAUUUUUAUUUUAAGGGAUCUAUUGUUUUAAGAGUGUGAGUUUAUCUUCUUCAGCCCUUUCUCGGAUAAAAUUUACACUUUUAACCCCUAGAGUAUAAAAAAAAUUUCCGGUUUAGUCCUUAAACUAUUUUUCUUGACACUUUAGUAUCAAAACUUGUUGGAAAGACAUUUUUAGCACAAAUUUACUUGAUAAACAGCUUAAGUCCUUCAAAAAUGAAAUUUUCUCGGUUGAAACCUCCAUUUUUGCAACUUUUACAAUUUUGACCCAAAAUGGAAAAUUUUUGCAUCUUUGGUCCCUUUUUAAUUGGAAAAGCAUUUUUGACCCUUGAAAUAGAUUUGGUACACUAGUAAUCCCCGGUUUUACAGAAAUGUGCAGUUUCAGCCCCUCCAACUAAAAAAUUUCGCAAUUUAGGGCUUUAUUGGGCCGAAAAGUGCAUUUUGGUCCAUUAUGUUUAAAUUUCACAUUUUUAACCCUUCAAAAGUGUUAAUAUUCAGAAAAUACAUAUUAGAAACUGUUUAGACUCAUCUCAACCUUCAUAAUUCAUAUAUUGUCGUUUUGGGCCCUUUAGUUUUGUAUUUUUAGCAUUUUGAGCCCAAAAAU